AGAAUUUAUUUCUGAAGGGGCUCAACUAGAACGGCGUAGAAUGGAGCCAGCAACAUCCUCUGGGCCUGAGUCAUCUCGGGCUUCUGACAUGGAAGGAGCCGAUUCCAUGACUCCUAGCUUCCUGAAGAGGUCCCAUCUCAUACCCCAUGGCUCACUCCGGAUCCCAGAGCUGUGCGCUGCCUCUCAGGCCUGUGGCCCAGGUGACACUGCUGCAGGCCAGCAGCUUCCGAGCUUCCGCUGACUCGGCCCUCACCGUGACCAGUACACUUUUACUGGCCAUCUAAUCUGCCGAUGUGUACAAAUAGAACCGCGUAAUGGGGGCUGCAGUCACGUCAUGCCGUGCCCAGAACCACUGAUCUUUGUCAACACUGAAGAAGGGGUCUGGCCUGGGGGGUGGUGGGGGUUGCAGGCCUUCGGGGGUUGGCUCAGCUACGAGCAACGGUACCACAGCAUCAUGAUGCCUUCUCUGCUCUGCCUGCCCCAGCUUGGCCCCUGCCAGCUGCUGGCCCAGCGGAUGCCCAUGGUCUCCCAGUUGCCUUAAUUCCAAUAUGAAGAAUUUUUAUUUUUUACCACGAUUUCAAGAACAAAUUUGAGUUAAGCAAACUGAAUGCUCAUUUGUUUUCUCCAAGUAUAUAAUCUAUCUGCUGCUUCAGUACACUCUUUCCUGUGGACAAGGGGAGAAGGGGGCUGCUUUAUUCAGUCACUGAAGAAAAAACAACAAAAACCCACCCUUCAUGAUGGAUGAGCCUGAAGAGAAAAGCACUUCCUCUCGAUGACUGAGGCAAGAGAGGAAAGCUGCAGGUAGCCCGCAGACACACAAUGUCUUCCAGACGGGCUCCAGACAAGCACAGGCCCUCCCUCACCACAGACCACUGGAGGGAUGCCGGAGGUCGGAGCCAGACCCCCCAGCAGCUGAGCUAGCAGCAGGGGGAAGUUGUUUCUCUAUGGAACGGGAGUGUCUGCGUAAUCCCGCUAGACCGUCCACCGGUCCAGUCUUUUCCUGUGAAAAGGUUUUGGGCAUUAUCCAACCCACUUUGCUUACACGGCAUCAAGGGCACCCUUGGGCGGGUGUCACUCUGACCUCCAGGGGACACACGGUGUUAGGAGAAACUUUCUUCCGAUCACGUCAAGACCAACAUAAAUUCUCCUCUGUCCUGUUUCAUUUCUCCGAAAUCUACUGUAUAUUAGCCAAGCUGAAGCGUUGUGUAUUCCAGUCCAUCUGCGUAUUUGAAGCCGUUUCCAACUCUGACUCUCGUUGGCUCUGUUAUGUACAGGUGAUUCCAUCACUUGCCGGUGGGACCGUCACAGCAACUAAUCAGACUUCCCCCCAGUGUCCUAACUCCCAGGUCCCUUGUUAA
rnacentral:lncRNA from 1 species